UUGCUAAGUUGCUGAUUUUCUGAUUUUAUUUGAAUGCAUGCAUUCUAUGUGCCCUUAUAGAUGCAUAUAUAAUACAAAGCUCAGGGAGCUAGCUACCCUGAGCAUAACUUCUUUAAUAUUGGGGUCCUUCCCC